CCUACGGGAGGCUGCAGUCGAGAAUCUUCGGCAAUGGACGCAAGUCUGACCGAGCGACGCCGCGUGUGGGAUGAAGGCCUUCGGGUUGUAAACCACUGUCAGUGGGGAGGAAGGCUCCGUGAAGAGCGGGGUUUGACCUAUCCGCAGAGGAAGUGAGGGCUAAGCUCGUGCCAGCAGCCGCGGUAAGACGAGCCUCACGAACGUUAUUCGGAAUUACUGGGCUUAAAGGGUGCGUAGGCGGCGCGGAAAGUAGGGUGUGAAAUCCCUCGGCUCAA
rnacentral:rRNA from 1 species